UCCCUGGCGGUCUAGUGAUUAGGACUCAGUGCUUUCAUUGCUGUGGCCCAGGUUCAAUCCCUGGUCUGGAAA
rnacentral:tRNA from 1 species